UUAGAGCUGGAAGGUGAGACGCCGCGGGAAAAGCGGUCCUGUUAGGUGGUCCAGGUAGUUUGGGGCUGAGGCCGUCUCCUGAAGAGUAACCGCGGGCCUGUGCUACGGUCACGCCACCGGUCUCCGUUUCCUUUAGCCUUCUCUCUCACCAAACGAUUUUCCUGUCCAGUUAUAAAGUGCAAGUUGUUUCCCCAAGCUGAGAUGGAGCAAUAGAGACCAGAUGUACCUUUCCCAGCUGAAACAACUAAAAAGACAAGACAAAAUAUAUUAAAGAAUGGUUUUUGAGACACUGGACACCACACAGUGAAGAACAGUGAUCCCUGAGAGAUGAGAAACAAAUAAGAUCUUGGAAUGCUCCAGUCUUUUUGCAAAGUCGAUGAGCGGCUUCAGCACUGGGGAAGAAGCCCGAAAGGUGACCAGAUGGAACCUGCAUUCACAGUCUUCAAAGUUCCCUUUUGAAACAUAAGGAAGAGAAUGAAGGGGAGAAGGAUUUCACACUUUCGGGCUUACAAUCUGAAGGUGUCCGUUCCUACACUGGUCAGACCACUGUCCUUGGGGCAGCUGGGGUCUUUGGGACCCUCCACCGGGCUCGCCGGUCCGUCGGACUUUUGGCUGAGAUCCGUGUCAGACUCCUCCGAAUAGUCGUCUGUUGGCAUCGAGGGCUGAACCCCUGAGGUGCUGCAUGAACUUGAGAGCGCGCUCUCGCACGCCAGGCAGUGGUACGAGCCGCCGCCGCUGCCGCUGCCGCCGCCGCCCGUGGGGACGUGAAGCACCAUCUCUUGCAGGUUCACCACAGACUGGCCGAAGAAGCAGAGGGACUUCAGGUGGCUCCUCGCCGCCUCCUCGUCACUGAAGCCCGCCUGGCACUUGCGGCAGACCAACUUGUACUGCACCUUUGGAACGAUGAAGGGGUCGUAGAGGGAGUCCGCACUUUUGCUUUCUGCUUCUGGCUCUUCGGGGGGUUUCGGCAGGAGGGGGGACACCUCACGGGGUGCGUUUUUCUGCUCUUCUGGUCUGGGGGAUUCUUUGGCAGGGUCUUUGUCUGGGGAAGCAGCCCCCUGGGGGACUGGGGUUUGGCUUGCUUUGGGCUGCUGCACUUUUUGCUGCUGCAGCUGCCGCUGCUGCUGCUGCUGGAUGGCCUCCUGCAGACUCUGCUGGUAUUGCUGGUACUGCUGCAGUAGGGAGCCCGGGGACAGCCCCAUCAGGGCCUGCGACAGCGCAGGGCUGUAGGGGAACAGGCCUUCCAUGCCGUACAUAGGCUGCAGGUACCCGCUCUGCAGGGCGCCGGGGAUCUGGGGGGCGUAAUAAGGAGAGAAGCCUGGUACAAAGUAAGGGAGGAACUGGCUCGUGAGCAACGCUGUGGGGUCCGAAGUCAAGGCUGCCUGCAGGGCCUGCAGCUGCGCAGGGUCCACUGCAUACUCCAUGGCGGGCAGCGGUGCUGAGAUCGUGGCUGUGGCCGCCGUGGGCGCCUCUCCUUUCUCCUUCUUGGGGACGGGCAGGGGUUCCCCUUUCCCUUUGUGUGCCUUUUCCUUCUCCUUUCCCUUCUCACCGUCUCUGUCCUUGCGUUGCUGUUGCUGCUGCUGCGGCGGGAGCUGCGGCGCGGGUGGUGGCUGGGCUGCUGGCGGCGGCGGCUGCGCCUGCGGCGGCUGCGGUUGGGGGCUUGGCAGAGGGGCCGUCGCCGUGGGGGCCUGUGCUGGGGUGGGGGAGCUCAGCGACGCUGAGGGCGGUUUAUUUGGUAAUCCAGACGUGGGGAGGCCGGGGGAAGGAACUGUUGUGCUGGGCAGACCCAUCAAGUUCGGUUUAGGAGACGUUAAAGCUGAAAGGAAUGGAGACAGAGAAAUCACGUGUCACUCUGGGGUGCUGAGGCUGGUGCUCAAGAUGUUUCACCUGUGUCACUGGCACAGGGUCUAAGAGCUCAAGGUUUGAACUUGGAGGAUCCUGUUGAUCCAACGGCUUUCCCGCCAGGCCCAGGUUGGAUAGCCGGUAUUCUAAUCCGGGCCCAGCCCUGGGUCAGCUCCCAUACCUCCCAUACCAGCUAAACAACUUCCAACACCUUCUGCCCAACGUGCCACACCCAUCCCACUCGGUCAUGUUUUCUCUGCUGUGCUCCCAGCUGCCAUUCACUCUGCCCAAGGCAAUUAGUCUGGAGGCCCCCAGACUAGCUGCUGCCAGCCGGGACCCAUCUGAACCAAUGGCCUUCAUCAAAAGCCCCACAGAGAUAGUACGGUCAAGAGGCCCCACCAGAAGCUGUCUGGAGAAGAGAGCGAAAGCAAGAAACCCGGCCAGGCACCAAGACCACCUGAACAAACACAACAGGCUCUACACAUGUGCCUCUCUGACCUCCACUGCUGCAGGGUGAUGGAGGGCUGCUGCUGGUUCAUGAAGACUAGCAAGGUGGCGGUGAAGGACAGCACUGACCACAUCCAAGACCCUAGACGAUGCAGUGCUCCUGGGAGCUGUGGUACAGUCAGACGGUGGUAACUGGGGCGGGCCUGGCUGCCUUGAAUGAUUAAGAGCAUAUCUGUCCUCCUACCUGGAGUCAAGUGGUCAGAACCUGAGUAGCACGAAACAUACACCUGUUGACUGACUGGCUCAUACUGGCUGCUGUGGAAGGAGUACAGAGCACUGGGAGCCCAGAGGCCUUCAAGGGAGUAAUAGCACCGGGAGCCCGGCUCCUACCCUAGCUCGUUGAAUGGUCUUGACCUCUCUGGGCCUCAGUUUUCUCAUCUGUAAAACAAGGGGAAUAGACCAGACAUUUUGAUUCUAAUAUUUUCACAUUACUAUGAAAUGUUGGGCCUUCCCAAGCCCCUCUUCCAAGGUCCCAGGCUGCAAGGGAAGCUCAGUGCCCAGCCACCUUCCAUAGUCGCUUUCUUGGCUUACGUCUAGCUGACUUUUAACAUCAUUCUGUGACAUUACUUGCCAGCACAUGUAAGCAACGACUUCUAAAUCUUAAUGCUUUCUUUUCUUGUUCUUCUCUUUGGUUAAGAAACUGGGAUCUGGAAUGUGGUAGCCCCUCACGUUCUGUAAAACACUGCCAAAAUUAUAAAACUUGGAUUUAAUUCAACCAGAAACCAGGGCUGCUCUGGGAAGCAGCAGAACCACUUCAACCCCUGGGAACAGGGCCAUGUUUUGAAGUCUCACAGGAUCCUGGAAGUGAAAGUCCAAUUUAGGGAAGACAGCUGGAUUCAGAGAAGACGGGUGUGGGCAGAGGAGGAGGAACAAGAGAGGUACACAGGAAGAACCGCGGCACUCCCUACGAAGUGGAAAAAUAACUACCAAGUACGUGACUCUGAAUUAGAAAGGGAAACGGGCAGAAGAAAACGAAGGUGUGUUACCAUUAACAUUUUUGUCUGUCUAGAGGACUAUAACAUGUCAUAAUUCAGAACCACAGUGCCCAAUACGAGUUCCUGGUCAGUGCAUUCCAGUACAAAGGCAGUCUAAUUAGAAACCAGGGACUUCCCUGACAGUCCAGGGGUUAAGACUCUGUGCUUCCACUGCAGGGGGCACAGGUUCGAUCCCUGGUCGGAGGACUGAAAUCCCACAUGCCGCGUGGUGCAGCCCAAAAGCAACCAACCAACAAACAAAAAACACUAACAUUAACACCCUAUUUCUGACUGGAAGAGAACCCCAGGGGUAAGGCUCUACCGUAUGAGAGCGUCUUCCUGGUAGCAUCUCUCCUGCCAGAGCACGUCUCUGAAAAAGGAGGUGGGACCACAGAGGAAGGCAAAGAGUUGAUUUAAAUUCUCUUGAACCAAUUUCCAGAAGGCACAAUCCAGGAUUAGCUAGACAUUCAAAUGUUUUAUAUUUUCAACAGACAUCGAGAUGGGAUCUGCAUUUCCACAAGGACUGAAUGGAAGGGUCUAUAAUGGAAACUGCUGUCUUGAAAAUACCCCAUGAUCUAGUACGCCAGAACCCUGAAGUUCAUGCCUAUAACACACACCCUGGUGGUGUUACUGAACACCAGGCACGAGAAUGGUUUCAGGAGCCUGUUCCAACCACAAGGUCCCCAUCCUUGAACUGGCAAGUCAAAGAGUCAUGUACACCAUAGCUCUAGGGAGACUCAGUGGAAGGGACCUGAGGUUUUACACUGCUGUUAGAGAACUAGAAAAGGGAAGCUUCCUAUCAGGCCAACACUCGGAGGUUUUGUGUGGUAGCCAUAGAACAAGCGCUAAUUGGGCGGCUAUUUAAUACUGGGAGAGUCACCAGGAGCAGAACCCACCUGUGUUGGAUGGAGUAAAGCCGGGCAAGGAGGGGCUGUUGAGGCCGGGGAGCAACACGGGCGGAAUGCCCUGGAUGGCCGGAUAUGCUGUCGGAAGGUUGAGAGCCUGAAGAGGGGCGUUGUCAAACAUCCCUUGCUGCUGCGCUGCCAGUCCGAGGACCUCAUUGGCCUUUUUGAUCCGGUCCAGCUCUUGUUGAGCCAUCAGCUGACGUACAGUGGCUGGGUCAAAGUAUUCUUUCUCCUUGUCCAACUGGCUUCCAAUGGUGUCUUUAACUUUGGAGAUAUGCUGUUGGGAAAAGAUAUGGUCACGUACAGACAGCCGAGCGCUGUACUUGAUGCCACACAAAGUGCACUCUGUUUUGGGUCCCUCGUAACUUGUUUGGUUUAUACCAAAAUGCUUGGCCAUGCUUAACUUGGACUUCUUUUCUUUUGCCCGGGCAUUCUGGAACCAGACCUGAACCACUCUCUUUGGCAGUCCAAUGUCAUUGCCCAGGACUUCACACUCUAGCAUGGUGGGUGUCCUGUAGUCAUUAAAGCAUGACUUGAGGACCUUCAGCUGCAGAUUGGUCAUCUGAGUGCGAAAACGUUUCUGCCCGGGCCUAUCCCCACUGUCUCCAGAUUUGCCCGCUGACCCACUUGCACCAGGGCUUGGGGAGCAGGGGUCUGCAAGGCUCGAGGUUUCACUGUAGUCCACUGUACCUUCAUUGUCAUAUUCCUUGCUGUAAAAGCUCGGGGCUGGGCUGACCAGACCGGAUGACAACCGAUCUUCAUACUCGGACAUUGCCAUCAUGGCUGCUUUGGUCAACCCUUCACUGGGCGCGGAAGAGGAUUUGGUUUCAGUUGCUAUUCCCGUCGCACUGUCGUUAUCCGCGUUGCCCUCGUCUCCAGUAGUGGUAUCUGUGAUCGCUGUGUUGACUGAGGAACAGUCGUCGUUGUCCAGCUUAGUUUGGUCAAAGUUUAGAUUAACUGAGGACAUGGAAGGGCUUUCAAAGUCUUCAAUCCCUUCCACCUUGAUGGAAGAAGGGCUAAGAAGAGUUCUAGGAGACAACUCCAUGGUUUUGCUCACAGGUGAGAGGGGAACACCUUGGCCAUCACUACUGCUUGGGGGUAGGUGGGAAAAGCUAGUUCCAUCAAAAAUAUCUCCUUUCAUCUGGAGUCCCCCAUCGCAGUCUAAGAGCAUCGCAGACAGAGUUAGGUUGUAGCCAGCUCUCUUGGCUUCAUGCCAAUGACGGGACCGGAUAUGAGCCUCCAGGGCAGUCUUGGCUUUGAAGAGCGCUCUGCAAAAAGGGCAUCUCCUGUGGGCCUGGGCUGGGCCCACAGCCCUGAACUGUCCUUUCCGUUCCCGGGCUCGGGUGUUCUGAAACCAGACUUGUACCACGCGUUUCUUCAAACCCACCUCAUGCGCAAUGUGAUCCAACAUCUUUCGAGUUGGAUUGGAGUCCAAGAGAUACUUUUGGUAGAGAAUUUCUAGCUGUUCUGGUGUAAUAGUUGUCCUCAAACGCUUGUCUCUCUGAGGUUCUUCUCCUCCCGUCCCACUGUCAUUCUCUCCAGGGCUGGCACUGGCCUUUUCCUCCAGCUUCCUCUUCAGAGUGUUCAUCGUGGAGGUGGGAGUUGAAGGGGAAGUGGCCGAGCUUGCCGGAAUCUGAGGUAUGGCCCCAGAGAGCAGCUGGCUUGCCAGCAGUGGGUUACUAGGGUCAAACAGCAUGAAAGGCAUAUCCAGGGACCUGUCCAGAAACUGGGGGUGGAGGAACUGGUUCUGCGCGCUCAGGAAGUGAAGCUGCUGGUGCUCCUGCCAGUGCUCGAACGACGGAAACGCCAGCUUGCACUGCUCGCACUGGUAGGGGAUUAGCUGAGGAGGUAGGUUGGCCAGCUGCUGAGGAGUUGACGU